rnacentral:lncRNA from 1 species
UGGGUUGUCUUUUGAAUCCUCGUCGAAACGCUUUUCGUUUCGUCUCAAUCGGAGUUUCCGUUGAGAUUUUACGACGAAAACAAGUAGGACGCUUCUUGGCUUGCUUCCAUUCGCUACGUAGCGACCUGUCAGACUGUCAGUCGCUACGUAGCGACCUGUAAGUCCUCAAAGGGUUUUCCUUUGCGUUCUCCUUUGAAUCCUGUUCAAAAUGCUUUUCGUUUCGUUUCAAUCGGAGUUUCCGUUGAGAUUUUACGACGAAAACAAGUGGGACUCGUCUCGGCUCCCUUCCACUCGCUAUAGCGACCGAGAUGACAUCCUCACUCGCUAUAGCAACCUGUCAGGCCUCAAAGGGCUCCUCCUUUGCGUUCUCCUUUUAAUUCUCAUCGAAACGCUUUUGGUUUCGUCUCAAUCGGAGUUUCCGUUGAGAUUUUACGACAAAAACAAGUAAACCUCAUCCAAAACUCCUUGGCUUGUUUCUGCUCACCCUACCUCCAUCUUUGCGUUCACUUUCGAAUCUCGAUCGAAACGUCUCUUGUUUCGCCUCGAUUGAAGUUACCAUUGAGACUUUACGAUAUAAAAAAAAAACCGCAAAGACCUAUUUUCUCGCAUGGAUUCAGAUUAAUCGUAUAAAACGGCAAAUGGUUAGCUUAACACCUUAGCCGCCUUAACUAUACGAUUACGUUGGACCUUUUUACAAAAAUCGACGUCGUAUCUAAGGAGAAGAUAACAGUCAAGUUCGGAAGAUAAAUGUCAAGUUUCAAAGGGUAAACACCAAUAUCGGAAAUGGCGAACAUACACGAGAAUAGGAAACGGAAAUGAGCACGCAAAACUGAGAAGGGAC